UUCCUGGUGGUCUAAUGGUUAGGAUUCAGCGCUUUCAACACUUCAGCCCAGGUUCAAUCCUUGGUCUGGGAA
rnacentral:tRNA from 1 species